GUGGAAGAGGAGGACGAGGAAGAAGUCUUCUAUGAUUCAGUAUUCACCAGAUCCUACCUGGAUGUUUGGAGAAUUUCCACCGGGUUCAACAUGCAGGUAGCAACAAUCUGGAGGGCCAACUACCGGGCACACAUUUAUGACCUAAAGGUGCUGACAUCCAGCUGCUCCUGCAAGCUCCUGCUGACAGACAUCUCCAGCGGGGAAAAAUUCCAUGUUUAGCUGGUAUUCGGGGUGCAGCAAGGCAACCUGGACAUCUUUCUGAGCUGCCAGAAUGCAGAGGCCGUCUUUACACCCAGCACAACAUGGCUACAGAGCUCGGCUGGGGUCCAGUCCAGAGCUCCAUCUUACUUCCUCUUCUGUCCAAGUCCGCUGGGGAUGCCGCUCCUCCCCUCCGGGAACACAAAAUGCCCAAAAAGGCGGUAACAUGGAACCAGAACCUUAACUGCCAUUGUUCUGCAUGAUGUUCUAAUGUUAAAUACUGACAACAACAAUCACUAAAACACAACAACAGUGUAUCUCCAGACAGUCUUUUGUUGUUACUAUUCUUCUAACUUUUUUGCCUGAUCACUUAAGAAAUGACAAUUUAUGUCACUUUAGAAACAAGUUUGGUUUCUCUGAACAUGGGAGUCAUUUCUUUCUGAGAAUAUUGGAGCACUGAGCAAUGGUACUGAUUCUGUUGUAUGGCACAGUAGAACUCGCCCCCAUCCACACUCACUGCAUUUGCAGCUUUGAUGCUGUGAUAAAUACAAUCUCUUUCAAUUUCCACCAUCGGUCUUCAUGAGUGCUUUGGUUGCUGAAGUAUUUUUGGUAUGAGACAAAUGUUAUCAACAUUUAAAGUAAUGAAAGGGAUGGUAACAGCUGGCUAGAUUUUAACAAUUCUCUCAGUACAAAUAUUAAUUAAAUGCAGGAUACUAAUUUCCUUUUCUAUUGCAAUCGGCUGCAGAUUGCAGUUCUAGUUACACGAUUCUUCUAUGUGGCCAUAAAGAUGGAGGUGUGAAAGGUUUCCAGGCACAGUGCUGUGUACCAGCAGCUGAAGGGAGGAAUGUUUGUGGAUGAAAGAGCCGUCAAGCUGCUUACCAGCAAUCCAGCAGCAAUGGAGAGAUGUCAGAAGUACAGUGAUAGUUCAGCUCUAAUGAAUGUAGGAGUGUUUAAGCAUCGCUCCCCAAUGAGGAUAUCUCUAAGACUGCGUUAAGUUGGGAAUCAGGAAGGCAGUUCUGAUGUGUGAUAUGAAGGGCCAGGAGUGAGCAGAGGUUUCCACAGGACUUUAUAUGAAUGCAAUUACUGUUAAUUAUUGCACAACCCAUCCUAUUAGGGUGAACAGCCCACUUCCAAAAGCCAGGUUUGGAAUUCAAGCAGAAGAAAGGUACAAGCUGCCUUUACCCUCUGUCGAAGCAAUGGCCCAUGCUUCCCUCCUGCACGUUUCCAAAGCAACAGUAAAUAGUACCCCUGUUGAGACAACAGCAUAUUGCACUCCUGCUGAGAGGAAUUUGCAUUUCAUUUGCAGAUUAUUAUACCCCAGGCUUAGUCUAAACUGCUUUCAAAUUUCCUUUGUUGCUAUUGGGUAUUCAUGUCUGCGUCUAGAUGGAAUUUCAAACUUGAAAUUAUUCUCACUUCAUGUACGUGACCAUAUGUUUCUUUAUAACAAGUUUCAAAUAAGAAAUGCCUAUCAUUUUGCCCAGAUAGUUAAUGUAAAAUGGACAGAUUAAUAAACCCUGCAUCUCUUUCAUCCACAGGAAUAUGCUUCCCAUGGACCAAAAUGAAGCUACAAAAUGUAACAAGCUACCAGAUUUAAAAGUUGUGCAGGAUAAACCCACUAUCGUUUUUGGAAAAACAAAGUUUAUAGAAUCAUUACAGAAACAUAAAAUAAAUGCACUGAGUCUGGAGGCAGCUCUAGAGACUGUCUGGUCCAAAAAGAGCGGGGCUGGUUGGAGCAGGUUGUCCAGUGCUUCCAGCCUGGCGUUGUCCAUCUCCAGGGACAGAGAAUCCACCACCUCAAUGUGCAACUGCUCCCAUGUUCAAACAAGGUGGCAAUUUAAAGAAGGAUUUUCUUAUGUUUAAAUGGAAUUUCCUGAUUGAUUUUGCUGUUUUUUUGUUUGUUUGUUUGUUUUUGUAGGAUUUUUUUGUUACUUUUGUUUUAUUUUCAUCUUUGUCCAUUGCUUCCUGUCCUGUUGCCUCAUUGGGGCAACACUGAGAAGAGAAUGGUUCCAUCUUAUUGCCCCCAUCAGGUAUUUAUACAUGUGGAUGGGAUCCCCCUGAGCCUUCUCCAGGCUGAGCAGUGCCAGCUCUCUCAGCCUGUCCUUCUAUGAGAGAUCAUAGGCUCACAGAAUCAUUCAGGAAAAGCUCUCCAAGACCCCCGAGCCCAACCCCAGCCCAGCUCACCAUGCCCGCUGCCCACAUCCCUCAGUGCGACAUCUCCAUGGUUCUGAAACACCUCCAGGGAUGGUGACCCCACCACUCCAGCGCAGCUGUGCCACUGCAUCACCAGUGCAUUAGACGCCCCCAUCCUUUUACAAUCUUUGUGACACUGAUGCAUACCUAUAUAUGCAUAUAAACUCUCUAUAUAUCAGUAGAGGAAGUGUGCUGGUUGUAUGGCACAGCAGGUCCCUCCAAGGCAUGUAGACAUGGCACUGGUGCUGCUCCUCCGAUCUUCCUACAAAUGAACUGGUACUGCAGUUUUCUCUUUUCCCUAACCUACAAACUGUUUGGACAGCUACAUUAAUAGUGGUUGUGUUAUAAAACUGCAGCAGAUUCAGCUACAGGCUUUUUUCAAAUUGAGAGCAGUCAGGGCUUUGCACAGAUGAGCUGUUGUCCUGUUAGCCUUGUAUUCCUGAGGGGAAAAAACCAUGGUGGUAUUUGCUCCUUAAGAUGCCCAGGACCCACAGCAGGUUCAGCGACCAAAUUACUUUCAUGAUGUUUUUAAUUACCCUUUGGCCCUCAGGUCUGUACAUUUGACAUGGACACUGCUGUCCCCUGAUAGCAUCCUCUUGGGAGCAAGGGACACCUGAGGAAGCAGAAAACAUUUUUCUACCACAUGACCUAUUUCAAAAUAACUAUCAUUUCUUUUUUUUUUUUUUUUUU
ensembl:lncRNA